GGGUCAUAGCGGGUGCUGUCUUCUUCCAUGAUGAUCUGUCCCUCGAUCACGCUCUUCUCUGUUUCAGGGCAUGAAAUACUUGGAGGACCGUCACUUGACCCCUCGCGUCCGGUUCGCCGGGAACCUACUGAUGAAAACCCUGGAUCAAGUCAAGAUUUCAAAAUUUGAGCUCUUGGGUCUGGCAUCGUGGAAGACCGCGGCUAAAUGCCAUAAGUAAUGAGAAUUGCAAAAUUGGUUGAAUCCACGAAUCUUAGAACGUACAUUGCGACCGCCCUUAUUCUGGCGGGAUGCCUGUUCAAGCGUCAUUUCAACCCUCGAGCCCAGCUUGGUGUUGGGACUCGCGAGUCAAAUCGCGUUCCCCAAAUUGAUUGGCGGUCACGUCGAGCUUCCAUAGCGUAGUAGUAAAACCCUCGUUACUGGUAAUCGUCGCGGCCACGCCGUUAAACCCCAACUUCUGAAUGUUGACCUCGGAUCAGGUAGGAAUACCCGCUGAACUUAAGCAUAUCAAAUAAGCGGAGGAA
rnacentral:rRNA from 2 species